rnacentral:lncRNA from 1 species
UGGCACAAAACGUCGCUUUUGACAUUCCAACGUGUAAUGACUUCGUCGCCAUCAUUCCUUCACUCAUUUUCCCCCAAAUUGAAAAAUCUAACUUCAUUAUUGCCCAAUUUUCCCAAUUUGAUGAUUUUGAACUGGAAUUGCAGUUACUCGUGGCCUCCUUUCGCUCAAAUAUUGCAGUUAACAAUAUGUAUGGGGUUUUGCAUUUCAAGUGGCAGGAGCGAGGGUGAAGUGAUUCCAAAUUAUUGGUGUAAGAAGCAAUAUGUUCUUCUAACAAUAACAAAAAAUGGUGCAAAAUAGAGGUCGAAAAUUAUGGAGAUCUCGAGACUGGAUGGUAUGUGAUUACAUUUUGAUUUUAUGAAGGAUAAACCUUUAUGUUGGUGACUAAGUUUGUGUUUAUUCUAGUUGUAUUUAGCCUAAUAACAAUGAAGUUGGGUGUGGUUACUUCAGCCGGCGUUUUGACAAUUAAAUACAAACAUAGAGUGUUUGACAACAAUGUUUCGAAUGUGGCAAGAAAUAUAUGGAAAUAAGGGGCAAAUUUCACUAGAAUGAAGAAAAAUCUACAAGCAUAGUUAAAGUUAAUUUGUUGCUUAAUUUUAGUUACUGAUACAAAUAACAAUUACGCACAACAAAACCAAAAAUAUUAUCAUUCAUAAAUAUCAAGUGUUUCAUAGACACAACUAAA